UACGUAGGUGGCAAGCGUUGUCCGGAUUUAUUGGGCUUAAAGGGCGCGUAGGCGGUUGAUUAAGUCAGUUGUGAAAUACGGCAGCUUAACUGUCGAGGUGCAAUUGAUACUGGUUGACUUGAGUACAGACGAGGUAGGCGGAAUUAACGGUGUAGCGGUGAAAUGCAUAGAUAUCGUCAAGAACACCGAUAGCGAAGGCAGCUUACUAGACUGUAACUGACGCUGAGGCACGAAAGUGUGGGGAUCAAACAGG
rnacentral:rRNA from 1 species